CCUACGGGAGGCAGCAGUGAGGAAUAUUGGUCAAUGGACGAGAGUCUGAACCAGCCAAGUAGCGUGAAGGAUGACUGCCCUAUGGGUUGUAAACUUCUUUUAUAUGGGAAUAAAAUGUUCCCCGUGUGGGAUUUUGUAUGUACCAUAUGAAUAAGGCUCGGCUAACUCCGUGCCAGCAGCCGCGGUAAUACGGAGGAUCCGAGCGUUAUCCGGAUUUAUUGGGUUUAAAGGGAGCGUAGGUGGAUUGUUAAGUCAGUUGUGAAAGUUUGCGGCUCAACCGUAAAAUUGCAGUUGAAACUGGCAGUCGUGAGUACAGUAGAGGUGGGCGGAAUUCGUGGUGUAGCGGUGAAAUGCUUAGAUAUCACGAAGAACUCCGAUUGCGAAGGCAGCUCACUGGACUGCAACUGACACUGAGGCUCGAAAGUGUGGGUAUCAAACAGGAUUAGAUACCCGAGUAGUC
rnacentral:rRNA from 1 species